rnacentral:rRNA from 1 species
GACGAACGCUGGCGGCGUGCCUAAUACAUGCAAGUAGAACGCUGACUACUUUAGCUUGCUAGAGUAGAAGGAGUUGCGAACGGGUGAGUAACGCGUAGGUAACCUGCCUACUAGCGGGGGAUAACUAUUGGAAACGAUAGCUAAUACCGCAUAACAGUGUUUAACACAUGUUAGAUGCUUGAAAGAUGCAAUUGCAUCACUAGUAGAUGGACCUGCGUUGUAUUAGCUAGUUGGUGGGGUAACGGCCCACCAAGGCGACGAUACAUAGCCGACCUGAGAGGGUGAUCGGCCACACUGGGACUGAGACACGGCCCAG